UUAAGAAUCUUGUGCAAUGGGCGAAAGCCUGACACAGCGACGCCGCGUGCGCGAUGAAGGCCUUCGGGUUGUAAAGCGCAAUAGACAGGGACGAAGAAAGUGACGGUACCUGUUGAAAGCACCGGCUAACUACGUGCCAGCAGCCGCGGUAAUACGUAUGGUGCAAGCGUUGUUCGGAUUUACUGGGCGUAAAGCGCGUGCAGGCGGGCUAUUAGGUCAGGUGUGAAAUCUUUGGGCUCAACCCGAAGACUGCACUUGAAACUAACAGUCUAGAGUCCCGGAGAGGCAGGCAGAAUUCCUGGUGUAGCGGUGAAAUGCGUAGAUAUCAGGAGGAACACCUGAGGUGAAGACGGGUUGCUGGGCUGACACUGACGCUGAGGCGCGAAAGCCAGGGGAGCAAACGGGAUUAGAUACCCCGGUAGUCCCUGAGCGGGCUGGCAAGGCGCAU
rnacentral:rRNA from 1 species